AGGAGGUGUUCCGGGGUGAACUCCAGACCUAAGGGAAGGCCCCGGCCUGUCCGCACGCACGCCCGCCCGCCCGUGAGCCAGUAGAGGCAGCCGGGGACUGCAAGGCCGAGCCGCUGUGUGGCCCGGAGCAGCCCUCCUCAGGACCUUGGUGAACCUGUUGGUCCUCUGUCCUCUGUGCCAGAGCGUCAGGCUGCUGAGGGAGCUGGGGUCAAGCCGGCGUGUGUGCAUGCCCACCACGGCCAACUUCAAGCCACCAACCUGGUGUUACCUAACUCGUGACACCAGUUAGGAAGCUGGGAAGGCACAGGAAAUCAGAAAGGUGUGGCCACAGGGGUGAGCGGGGAUGACAGAGAGGACAAACCUGCGCGUCCCUCGCAAACAGCUUCUCCCUGCCUCACCCAAGGCCCCCCACCCCCCCACCCCCAGCCCAGCCGGCUGCGCUCAUCUGCAAAGAGGCUGCAGCCCUGGGACAUCCCGGAGGCCCCAGGAUGAAGUCUCAGCGUCCCAGCCUGCUGGACAAGGCUCGCCGCCCUCCGGCCCUGCCUUUCGCUGGCGGCCUGUCCAUGUAUCCGAGUCCGUUCCUCGCCCCCCGCCCUCCCGCGGGAUCCAUGGCACUGCAGGCCCUCCGUCUUGGAAUUGUUUCUCAAUUCCAAGUUGACUUCCAAACAAAAUGGAAGCGUAAGUU